rnacentral:rRNA from 1 species
UGACGGCGCGCCUAACACAUGCUCGUCGAACGAGCGAGAGAGAGCUUGCUUUCUCGAGCGAGUGGCGAACGGGUGAGUAACGCGUGAGGAACCUGCCUCAAAGAGGGGGACAACAGUUGGAAACGACUGCUAAUGCCGCAUAAGCCCACGGCUCGGCAUCGAGCAGAGGGAAAAGGAGCAAUCCGCUUUGAGAUGGCCUCGCGUCCGAUUAGCUAGUUGGUGAGGUAACGGCCCACCAAGGCGACGAUCGGUAGCCGGACUGAGAGGUUGAACGGCCACAUUGGGACUGAGACACGGCCCAGACUCCUACGGGAGGCAGCAGUGGGGAAUAUUGCACAAUGGGGGAAACCCUGAUGCAGCGACGCCGCGUGGAGGAAGAAGGUCUUCGGAUUGUAAACUCCUGUUGUUGAGGAAGAUAAUGACGGUACUCAACAAGGAAGUGACGGCUAACUACGUGCCAGCAGCCGCGGUAAAACGUAGGUCACAAGCGUUGUCCGGAAUUACUGGGUGUAAAGGGAGCGCAGGCGGGAAGACAAGUUGGAAGUGAAAUCUAUGGGCUCAACCCAUAAACUGCUUUCAAAACUGUUUUUCUUGAGUAGUGCAGAGGUAGGCGGAAUUCCCGGUGUAGCGGUGGAAUGCGUAGAUAUCGGGAGGAACACCAGUGGCGAAGGCGGCCUACUGGGCACCAACUGACGCUGAGGCUCGAAAGUGUGGGUAGCAAACAGGAUUAGAUACCCUGGUAGUCCACACCGUAAACGAUGAUUACUAGGUGUUGGAGGAUUGACCCCUUCAGUGCCGCAGUUAACACAAUAAGUAAUCCACCUGGGGAGUACGACCGCAAGGUUGCAACUCAAAUGAAUUGACGGA